rnacentral:rRNA from 1 species
UACGUAGGGGGGCUAGCGUUGUCCGGAUUUAUUGGGCGUAAAGAGCGUGUAGGCGGCCAGGUAGGUCUGGUGUGAAAACUCGAGGCUUAACCUCGAGAUGUCAUCGGAAACCAUCUGGCUAGAGUCCGGAAGAGGAGAGUGGAAUUCCUGGUGUAGCGGUGAAAUGCGCAGAUAUCAGGAAGAACACCAAUGGCGAAAGCAGCUCUCUGGGGACGGUACUGACGCUGAGACGCGAAAGCGUGGGGAGCGAACAGG